AGUGAACGCUGGCGGUAGGCCUAACACAUGCAAGUCGAACGGCAGCACAGUAAGAGCUUGCUCUUACGGGUGGCGAGUGGCGGACGGGUGAGGAAUACAUCGGAAUCUACUUUUUCGUGGGGGAUAACGUAGGGAAACUUACGCUAAUACCGCAUACGACCUACGGGUGAAAGCAGUGGAUCUUCGGACCUUGCGCGAUUGAAUGAGCCGAUGUCGGAUUAGCUAGUUGGCGGGGUAAAGGCCCACCAAGGCGACGAUCCGUAGCUGGUCUGAGAGGAUGAUCAGCCACACUGGAACUGAGACACGGUCCAGACUCCUACGGGAGGCAGCAGUGGGGAAUAUUGGACAAUGGGCGAAAGCCUGAUCCAGCCAUACCGCGUGGGUGAAGAAGGCCUUCGGGUUGUAAAGCCCUUUUGUUGGGAAAGAAAAGCAGCGGGUUAAUACCCCGCCGUUCUGACGGUACCCAAAGAAUAAGCACCGGCUAACUUCGUG
rnacentral:rRNA from 1 species